AUUGAACGCUGGCGGCAGGCCUAACACAUGCAAGUCGAAUGAGUGGAGGACGGGUGAGUAAUGUCGGGGAAACUGCCUGAUGGAGGGGGAUAACUACUGGAAACGGUAGCUAAUACCGCAUACCAUCGGAUGUGCCCAGAUGGGAUUAGCUAGUCGGGGGGGUAACGGCUCACCUAGGCGACGAUCCCUAGCUGGUCUGAGAGGAUGACCGGUCACACGUGAACUGAGACACGGUCUAGACUCCUACGGGAGGCAGCAGUGGGGAAUAUUGCACAAUGGGCGCAAGCCUGAUGCAGCCAUGCCGCGUGUAUGAAGAAGGCCUUCGGGUCGUAAAGUACUUUCCGCGGGGAGGCGUUACCCGCAGAAGAAGCAACGGCUAACUCCGUGCCAGCAGCCGCGGUAAUUC
rnacentral:rRNA from 1 species